rnacentral:rRNA from 1 species
UACGUAGGGCGCAAGCGUUGUCCGGAAUCACUGGGCGUAAAGGGUGCGUAGGCGGGUCUUUAAGUCAGGGGUGAAAUCCUGGAGCUCAACUCCAGAACUGCCUUUGAUACUGAAGAUCUUGAGUUCGGGAGAGGUGAGUGGAACUGCGAGUGUAGAGGUGAAAUUCGUAGAUAUUCGCAAGAACACCAGUGGCGAAGGCGGCUCACUGGCCCGAUACUGACGCUGAGGCACGAAAGCGUGGGGAGCAAACAGGG